rnacentral:lncRNA from 1 species
CAGUGGACUUGAGAUAGCUCAAGCGCUAGGCCUAGACAAUUAGAGCCACUCAAGUCCAAGCACGCCUCGUGCGUAGUUCUCUCCAGAAACACAUUUCUCGCUAAACAUUCAUAUACACAUACACAUACACAUACACUAUUGUUGUUGAUUGUUUCUGUCUUGAGAAAAAGCAGCGAGCCACCAACCUUUUCAACAGUUGUAUGGUAACGCAUGCCGGGCAACUAGUACGAAACACCGAGAAGAUGAGCUGAAUCGUCAACUACGCCAUAUCUAAGUUAUAAGAUGGAAGUGAAUCUGAAGGAUGAGUGAUCACCGGCCGGUCAAUUAUGCCUAGACUUGCUCAUAAGCCCGUCAAGACGUUAUUCGUUACAAUGUACUCAACGCUCUACAGCAACUGCGGUUCAUACUGGUACCAUGGGGUCGAUUCAUAUCAAUGGUUACCGUAGGUGUGCAUUCGCAGUGGAAUAAUACCUCGUCAACCCAUGGCCAUACCAAGACAUGAAUUCAAGCUUCUCCCAGAACGCGGCU